UGCAAUGGCAUGAUCUCAGCUCGCUGCAACCUCUGGCUCCAGGGUUCAAGUGAUUCUCUGGCCUCAGCCUCCUGAGUAGCUGGGAUUACAGGUGCACACCACCACGCCCAGCUAAUUUUCUAUUUUUAAUAGAGACGGGGUUUCACCAUGUUGACCAGGCUGGUCUUGAACUUCUGAUCUUAGGUGAUCGGCCUUCCAAAAGUGCUGGGAUUACAGGCAUGAGCCACCGUGCCUGGCCCCAGAACAUUCUUGCAUUCUUGAAUUUCCAUGGGAAUUUUUUUUUCCAUUUUAAUCUCUCAGGCAUUAGAAACCAGAAGUGGCUGUGGCUUUGGGUCUCCAUGUAGUCAUUUUUAGCUGUGCAAAUCUGAGUAAAAUCUUACAAACAAGGAACUUGAGAUUCAACUCCCAUUUUUCCAAUGAGGUAACAAAUACCCACUUCAUAGGGCUAUGAUGAAGACUGAUAUAAAAUGUAAUAUUGGCAGUUAGCUCCAUUUUCUCUAUCUUCCUUCACUGUUUCCAGCAAAUACAGCAGGACUGAACUAUGUGAUGACUUCAUUCUCUUUGCUCAAAAAGGAUUCCAAUCUC
rnacentral:lncRNA from 1 species